rnacentral:rRNA from 1 species
AGACAGAGGGUGCGAACGUUGCUCGGAAUUACUGGGCGUAAAGCGCGUGUAGGCGGGCUGAUAAGUCAGAUGUGAAAGCCCUGGGCUCAACCCAGGAAUUGCAUUUGAAACUAUCGGCCUAGAGUGGUAGAGAGGGAGGCGGAAUUCCUGGUGUAGAGGUGAAAUUCGUAGAUAUCAGGAGGAACACCGGUGGCGAAGGCGGCUUCCUGGACACUUACUGACGCUGAGACGCGAAAGCGUGGGGAGCAAACAGAAUUAGAAACCCCAGUAGUCC